rnacentral:tRNA from 1 species
GGGGAUUUGGCUCAGUGGUAGAGCGCUUGUCUAGCAAGUGCAAGGCCCUGGGUUCAGUCCCCA